rnacentral:rRNA from 1 species
CAGCCGCCGCGGGAAUACGUAGGUCCCGAGCGUUGUCCGGAUUUAUUGGGCGUAAAGGGAGCGCAGGCGGUUUAGUAAGUCUGAAGUUAAAGGCAUUGGCUCAACCAAUGUAUGCUUUGGAAACUGUUAGACUUGAGUGCAGAAGGGGAGAGUGGAAUUCCAUGUGUAGCGGUGAAAUGCGUAGGUAUAUGGAGGAACACCGGUGGCGAAAGCGGCUCUCUGGUCUGUCACUGACGCUGAGGCUCGAAAGCGUGGGUAGCGAACAGGAUUAGAUACCCCCGUAGUCCCUGUCUCUUAUACA